rnacentral:rRNA from 1 species
GUAGGGGGCAAGCGUUAUCCGGAUUUACUGGGUGUAAAGGGAGCGUAGGUGGCAUGGCAAGCCAGAAGUGAAAACCCGGGGCUUAACCCCGCGGAUUGCUUUUGGAACUGUCAGGCUGGAGUGCAGGAGGGGCAGGCGGAAUUCCUGGUGUAGCGGUGAAAUGCGUAGAUAUCAGGAGGAACACCGGUGGCGAAGGCGGCCUGCUGGACUGUAACUGACACUGAGGCUCGAAAGCGUGGGGAGCAAA